rnacentral:rRNA from 1 species
GAUGAACGCUGGCGGCGUGCCUAAUACAUGCAAGUCGAGCGAACGGACGAGAAGCUUGCUUCUCUGAUGUUAGCGGCGGACGGGUGAGUAACACGUGGAUAACCUACCUAUAAGACUGGGAUAACUUCGGGAAACCGGAGCUAAUACCGGAUAAUAUUAUGAACCGCAUGGUUCAAAAGUGAAAGACGGUCUUGCUGUCACUUAUAGAUGGAUCCGCGCUGCAUUAGCUAGUUGGUAAGGUAACGGCUUACCAAGGCAACGAUGCAUAGCCGACCUGAGAGGGUGAUCGGCCACACUGGAACUGAGACACGGUCCAGACUCCUACGGGAGGCAGCAGUAGGGAAUCUUCCGCAGUGGGCGAAAGCCUGACGGAGCAACGCCGCGUGAGUUAUGAAGGUCUUCGGAUCGUAAAACUCUGUUAUUAGGGGAGAACAUAUGUGUAAGUAACUGUGCACAACUUGACGGUACCUAAUCAGAAAGCCACGGCUAACUACGUG